GUGGCCACUUCGGCAGCACAUAUACUAAGAUUGAAAUGACGCAGACAAAACUAGCACAGCCCCUGCUCAAAGAUGACAUGUGAAUUCAUCACGUACUCCACAUUUUU